AUGUAAUUAAAUCAAAGUCAGUCAGGUGCCAAUUUGAGCUUUUGCCUCACUCUAACAACGUCCUGCUCUCAGGAGCUAAACAAGACAGGACUGACCUGAAAUAACCCCACCGAGCUCUGACCCAGGGACUCUCCAGAGCAGUGGACGCUUUCUUCCCAGGAACCAACUGUGAGAUGCUAGCGCCUGACCCAUCUUCUUCCUCAACUCCACCUUGACUGGAGACUCUGCCUUGAGGAUCUUCCCAAAUCCACAGAAAGGAAUGAAUACUUUCUAGAGAAUGAAGAACAAAUGAACUCUGAAGACUGUCCUACCUUCGACAGUGUUCUGCGAGUUUUUACAAAAAUGACUACAAUUUGCCUGAACUUAGUGCAAUGAGGAUGCACAAAGUAAAACCCAGACCUGGCCUGCCUGUGUUUCAGUCUGGAGGGAGAUGAUCUUCCUGCAAACAGCAGUUACAACUUGGUGUAAUGAGAGAGCACUGAGCUCUUGAAACAGAAUCUACCCAACAUUAAGAUUGGAGGACCAAUCUCCUGAGCUGGAAGAGAUCAUGAAAAUUUUCUCAGAAAAGAGCACUGGAUGGAGAAAAUAGGAGCUCCGAUGGCUUCUUUAUCACCUUACUCUGUGACUCUGGAUAAAAUUUCCAUAUUCAAUAUUUCUGUAAACAAAAUCAAUGAUGCUUGAUUAUGGUUGCCAAGAUAUUUGAAGGUUUUAUGAUGAUUUUCAUGAAAUGGGACGUUUCUGCCUAUUGUGGGAAUUGCAGUAUAGACCUACCAUCUCUGAGAAAAGUUGGACCACCUACCCCUGGUGGAAUGGUAUUGGCUUCGAAAGUCAAUAUUGGCUGGAAGUAUUUAAGCAGAAGUUACCCAAGAUACUACAGUGGAGCCAUGACAGAUGCAUUGGCUUCCUUAAAGCUUUGGGAGGAUCAUACCACGUGGAAGCAAUUUAUAGAUUCUAAAGAACUUUGCAAUUGGACAUCAUAUUCUGGAUUUACUGAAGUGAUCUCAGACCAGUACUACUCCACUGUGUAUAAAUCCUACACCUUGAAAUAACUUCAAGAAUCAACAAAUGGAAUCAUAUAAAAUUGAAAAACUUCUUUACAGCGGAGGAAACAACUCAGAGAGUGAGGAGACAACCUACAGAAUGGGAAAAAAAUUUUGACAGCUAUUCCACUGGUAGGGGACUAAUAUGUACAAUAUAGAAAUAACUCAAAAAAAUUAAGACUCCCUGAAGAAUAACAGACACAAUCAAAAAAUGAGUAACCUAAAUGAGUAGCCACUUCUCAGAAGAACCAAUAAAUACAUGAAGAAAUGCUCAGUGUCACAACUAUUAAAAAAUGCAAAUUAAACCACACUGAGAUUUCAUCUGACCCCAGAAAAAAUGGCCAUCAUCAAGAAUCAAACAAUAACAAAUAUUGGCAAGCCUGAGGAGGAAAUGGAACCUUUCUACAUUGUUGGUGGGAAUGAAAACCAGUACAAUCAUUUUGGAAAUCAGUAUGGAGAUUCUUCAAAAAAAUAGAAAUUUCAUUUUACCCAGCUAUUCUCCUUCCAGGUAUCUUCCUGAAAGUUUUGAAGACAUCAUAUUACAGUGAUAUAUGUUUAUCCAUGUACAUAGCAGCAAAAAUCCUCAUAGUUUACUCUUGGAAGCAGCCAAUAUGCCCAUCAACAGAUGCAUGGAUAAACAUUUUCUAUUCUUUCCAUUAACGUGAGAUGACCAUUAUUACUCUGUCCAUUGCCGAUUGGAUUAAUUUUGAUUAGCAGCUCUAUUUCCCCCUUUUCCAUGUCUCUAUUUGAGAGGAAUAUACUACUUAUUCAUUGAAGGGUGACUUACGACAGUAGAAGGUGAGUAGAAAUGGUAAGCAGAGGUUUGAACAGAAGCUUUUUAUUAUUCAUUAAUUUUAUUGGUACAUUUAGGUAUGCAAUACAAUGACAUUCAUCAUUAGGAAUUUGGACCUUUACAUGAUUUAUCUUGUUCUUACUUUUGACCCAUUCCCCUCCCUUCCCUUCAAUCCCUCCACCUCUCCCUAUUUACAAAAACAUUGUUUGUGUUUUUUUCCUUAUCUCAUAUUUAUUCCUUUCUCUUCUUUCCUUCCCCUUACUUCUCCACCUUCCCCUUCCCCUUUGGACCUUUUCGUCCUAUUUCACAUUAUUCAUUAUACAUUUUGCUCCUUAUUUACAAUUUCAGUUUAAGUGAAAUAAAUAGUACACAGAUGUGUAAAUAUCAAAUAGUUUCUCUGGUGUGAAAAGAAGCUUUGGGAUUUUGAGUCCACCUUAUCAUAUCACCCUUUCUUUACCAUUAGACUAUCAAGGUCCAAGAUUAAGGCAGGGGCAGCCCAGCCUUGGUUUCAAAGUGUAAACAAUACAGGAGUUUAUAAAGCUUUAGUAAGUGCUCAGCUGCAUACUGGCAAAGCUGAAAUUUGAAGUUAGAUUUGUCCUAAUCCAAAUCACAUGAACUUGGCCCUUACAUUGCAGUUCCUUUUUAGUCCUGAUUUCAUAUCAUUUUUCUGAAUUUUGCAGUAACUUCUUUAAAACCACAGUAAAUAGCUAUUUUUAAAGAAAUGGAAUAUGGAUAGGUUCUAGUAAGGAAGGGAAUAGGACAAAGGCAGCGUAUUGUUCAGCUUUCCUGUUGCUGGGACCAAAUAUACAACACUUACAACUAAAAGAAAAGGUUAAUUUAGAUCAUGGUUUCAUAGGAUUCAGUCUAUGUCUGGUUGGUGUGAUAGUUAACUGUUUUGUCAACUUGAGUAAGAAGUGCUGGACUGAUUGGAUUAACAUGGUUCUGGGUGUGACAGCAUGGAUUUACUGAAGAUGAAAGACCCACCAAGAGUGGUCCCAAUCAACAGUCUUGUAGCCUGAAUGAAAUAGGAAGGGGCAAGAGGAAAGAAGGCUCACUUCUGUUUCUUCAGAGGAACUCCAGUCUCUCACUUCACCUUGGAUGUCUGUCUCCUGACUUGCAGCACAAACUCUUCAGCCCCCUGAUACAGACUCACACAAGACUCUAUAGGGAGCUUCAGGACUUUGAUUUUUGACUGGCUCCUUUGGAACUCUAGUGCACAGACACCCCUUUUGCAUUCUUCUGCCUCUGACCCAGUAGGUGGCCAUUGUAAGCCUAUGUUGUAAAGAUAGAUAGAUAGAUGAUAGAUAGAUAGAUAGAUGACCAAAAACACACACAUACUUCAGAAAAAGAAAAAUAGUAUGAUGUUUUCUCAACAGACGGUGUUACCCUUAUAUGGGGGACCCUAGAGGAUGUUGUAUAUCACAGAAAACCCAUUACACUGCCGAUCCUUAGAGGAGAAAUUGAAAAUGCAUGUGUAGCAAUCUGAAUGACCACAGUUACCUAAGCAGCAGUUCGCCGUACGAAUAAAUAUCUUCAAGGUAAUCAUCACCACUUUGAGCACCUCUUGUAAUUGUAGAGGACAAAGGUAACUUGUAUGAGGCCUCAAUAAACUUAGUAUUAAAAU
rnacentral:lncRNA from 1 species